UCUUGACAAAGAGCUGGAUCUACAAAAUUACAGAAAUCUAAGAAACAGAAGUCUGCCCCCUUGGAAAUAGCACUCCCGUCUACGAUUUCACUUCCCAAAUGUCCACAAUGGGUCAUCCAUUGCGCACUGCAGAACAGCAGCAAAACACAGCUUUCAGCAAGUACUGCAAGGCUCACCUGGCAUCUUCUGGCCAUGACACUGCAUGGAAGACUGUCAUCUCCCAUUCUCAUUUAUGAUUCACUUUGCUUGCUGCAUUAUUGUGGAGCACAAGUUGGUAGGGAUGUGAAGACAGGUUGCCACUCAGUUACACAACUCUGCAGGAAAAUCUGGAAGCAGAGCAAACCUGGGAAAUGCCAACUCAGCCUUUUUCAUUUGUUUAUUCAA